rnacentral:lncRNA from 1 species
GCUGAUGACAAAAAAAAAUAUUUUCAUUGCAAUAUUGAAGGCCACUGGAGAAGAAACUGUCUGGCCUACCUGACGACUAUCAAGAGCAGGAAGAAAGAUAGGCCUUCUGAAGGUAUGUCUGAGUUGCUCGUUAUUGUAACUAAUCUAACGAUUUCUUCUUCUUCUAGUUGGGUUCUUGAUUCUGAUUCAAGUGCUCAUUUGUGCACUUCAAUGCUGGGUCUUGAAGAAGUUAGGGGGCUGAGGGAAGG